AAUUUUCAGAAUUAUACACACUUGUAGUUCCCAAGAUGUAAGUGGAAGUGAAGUUAUACAAUGAAAUGAAUGAAUUGAUUAGAUAUACAUGUAGAUGAGACCCUAUAGCUACAGUACAUGUAAUUGGUAUGUAUUUGUUACAGUAUUUGUAGUGGUAUGACAAUAAUGCUUAAUCAUGUGCAAAUUUAAAAAGGAGUUCAUUCAAACUAAUGAAAUAAAAAAAAACACUAUCAAUCAACAGAUCAAGGGAAAAGUUAAUCUGCUAUAUUCAUGUAUGGAAUAGGCAUGUAGUUACAUUUAUUUACCUCUGUAAUUUUUAGUCCAUGUGUAAAUUUAUGAGAUUAAAAUUUUAUAUUCUGGAUAUCCUAAGAUUUCAAUUCUUAUUUCAUAUUAAUAUUAUUCCCAUGUGCUAAUUUAUGCUUGUAGUUUGAGGAAAAUUAUCAAAAUAGCUCGACUAAAAUCAAACAAUUACUGAUAUCAUGAACUAGGUAAUUUUUGCCUUGUCUGAAACUGAUUGUAUGGUGUACAAUACUGUCUGGGCAGGGUUCAUUGGUCUAUAUAAAGUGUCAUAUUUUGGUCUGUUUAUUGUAUACUACACAAGCAAGCUAUAAUCAAUUAAGAAAUCAGCUGUUUUUGGUGUAAGCUAUGAUUGUAAGGGGCUAAGACAUGUAAGAAGGGGGCUUGAAAAUGAUGAGUUGUGUUUUUAUAGGCACUAAGUAUACUUAUAUAUAUACAGGUUAUAUGUAGUACACAUACAAUGUACAUGAAGACAGUUUGUUUUCAUAAGUAAUUUAUAAUAAAUUAUAAAACAUGUAACGUGGUCACGAUUUCCAAUGAGACAACUAUCCACUAGAGUCCAAAUGACUGAAUACUGCCAACUAUAAAUGAUCAUAUGUACAGCUUUCAACAAUGAGCAAAACUGAUACAGCAUAGUGAGCUAUAAAAUGUCCUGAAACAGGGUUAUAAUUAUUAUUGGCAAUUCAAAAACCUGGGUUUAUGAGUAUUGCAAUGCCCAGCCCAGUGGGAAAUACUAGUAAAAAACCUAGGUCUGGGUUUUACUAAAAAUCACCAUAAAGUCACCAAUUGAUCAUGUCAGAGCUCGAGCUUAAAAUAUAAUACAGUUUUCUCCUAAUUAUAAGUUUGGUAAAUCAUUGGAGAUUAAAUUGAUGUAAUCUUUUUUGCUUGAACCUUGACUACAGAAACAAACAUUACAUGUGGAUUUUAUUAUAUUACAGGAACUGUAGGAAGUUUUCCAAGAGUCUGAUUGCUAAGUAUGCAUUACAGGAUUUUAUCAUUGGAGCAACAUCUUAGGAGGAUAAACUUGUGCAAACGUAUGAAGGAAUCCUUGAAAUAUACAAAUAGCAAUUAUAUGCAGAAGAGGACUCUUAUAAACAUUAUAAACAGACAUGAAGUAAUAGUAGUGGUGUAUUCAAGAAGUGUAAACCACCUGGAAUAAACUAUUGUGUAUAUUUUUUCAACCACAAGUACUUUCAGAAUAUAGUACAGUUCAAAUUCAAAUUAUUGUGUCAACAG
rnacentral:lncRNA from 1 species